rnacentral:rRNA from 1 species
ACAAGCGGUGGAUGAUGUGGAUUAAUUCGAUGCAACGCGAAAACCUUACCACCUUGACAUGGCAGGAAUCCUGAAGAGAUUGGGAGUGCUCGAAAGGGAACCUGCACACAGGUGCUGCAUGGCUGUCGUCAGCUCGUGUCGUGAGAUGUUGGGUUAAGUCCCGCAACGAGCGCAACCCUUGCCAUUAGUUGCUACGAAAGGGCACUCUAAUGGGACUGCCGGUGACAAACCGGAGGAAGGUGGGGAUGACGUCAAGUCCUCAUGGCCCUUAUAGGUGGGGCUACACACGUCAUACAAUGGCCGGUACAGAGGGUAGCCAACCCGCGAGGGGGAGCUAAUCCCACAAAGCCGAUCGUAGUCCGGAUCGCAGUCUGCAACUCGACUGCGUGAAGUCGGAAUCGCUAGUAAUCGUGGAUCAGCAUGUCACGGUGAAUACGUUCCCGGGUCUU